AAAUAAAUUAAAGACUCUCCANUUGGACAUUUCAAAUUUAAUUAUAUUGUAACUUGUAGUAUAGAAUGUUUUUAAUUAAACUUGUGCACAUUUCGACCAAUAUUGACAAAAAAUAUGAUGGGCCCAAAUUGUAGUAAGACACUUGGCACCCUAGGUUUUUUUGUGUGGUCCCNACACCCAUUAAAAUGAGACACACGNCCUUGGAAAGAGGCAUCCAGCUGACACACUCAAUUUUAGGGCUGGAAACAAUUCUUUUUUUAUGGANCUUGUUCUUCAAAAACCAUGUUUNCCCUGUUGGAUUAUGGAUGAAUGUUAGAAUCACACAGGUUUCUUUUCUUUGAGAAUCNUAAGACGGUGAUUUUAUUUUAAAUGAGAGCUGCACGNUUUGCUGUUACANAGCACAUUUCAUUUGAUUUUGUUUAGAAAAGUUUAGAGAUUUUGGUAUGACUUAAUCUUGGGAGGGCUUCACGGUGCAUUUAUUUUGUAUGCAAGUAUGUCUUUGUUAUUGAAUGGGAAUGUGGCGUCAUAGCUGGAGGUGUGCUAUGGCCAGAGCUGGAGGGACACGUUGAUUCCAGCUCUUUUCUUUUAGGAGAAGUGGUGCUUCAUUUUGGGUCAUGCGAGAAUUCAUUUUACAAGUUUUUUUUUUUUAUUUUUUUAUUUUUGCUCUUCAAUUGGAAAAAUUGGUGCACAUGGUGAUUUUUAUUCUCUUUUCUUUUGNCGUUUGCAUGUGGUUUUCAAUUGGGUUAUGCACUUUUGAUUAAGGCUUUAUUCAGCUGUUGUUACGUGUUUAAUUUGAAUUAAAUUGUGGUGCUCAUGUCCAACAUUGUUGUGCACACANNN
rnacentral:lncRNA from 1 species